UUGACCCGGCGAUGUCCGAAUGGGGAAACCCAGUGUGUUCCGACACACUAUCGUUAACUGAAUACAUAGGUUAACGAGGCGAACCGGGGGAACUGAAACAUCUAAGUACCCCGAGGAAAAGAAAUCAACCGAGAUUCCCCCAGUAGCGGCGAGCGAACGGGGAGCAGCCCGGAGUCUGAAUCAGCUUGUGUGUUAGUGGAACGGUCUGGAAAGUCCGACGGUACAGGGUGAUAGUCCCGUACACGAAAACACACUUGCUGUGAACUCGAAGAGUAGGGCGGGACACGUGGUAUCCUGUCUGAAUAUGGGGGGACCAUCCUCCAAGGCUAAAUACUCCUGACUGACCGAUAGUGAACCAGUACCGUGAGGGAAAGGCGAAAAGAACCCCGGCGAGGGGAGUGAAAAAGAACCUGAAACCGUGUACGUACAAGCAGUGGGAGCCUCUUUAUGGGGUGACUGCGUACCUUUUGUAUAAUGGGUCAGCGACUUAUAUUCUGUAGCAAGGUUAACCGUAUAGGGGAGCCGAAGGGAAACCGAGUCUUAACUGGGCGUUAAGUUGCAGGGUAUAGACCCGAAACCCGGUGAUCUAGCCAUGGGCAGGUUGAAGGUUGGGUAACACUAACUGGAGGACCGAACCGACUAAUGUUGAAAAAUUAGCGGAUGACCUGUGGCUGGGGGUGAAAGGCCAAUCAAACCGGGAGAUAGCUGGUUCUCCCCGAAAGCUAUUUAGGUAGCGCCUCGUGAACUCAUCUUCGGGGGUAGAGCACUGUUUCGGCUAGGGGGCCAUCCCGGCUUACCAACCCGAUGCAAACUACGAAUACCGAAGAAUGUUAUCACGGGAGACACACGGCGGGUGCUAACGUCCGUCGUGAAGAGGGAAACAACCCAGACCGCCAGCUAAGGUCCCAAAGUCAUGGUUAAGUGGGAAACGAUGUGGGAAGGCACAGACAGCCAGGAUGUUGGCUUAGAAGCAGCCAUCAUUUAAAGAAAGCGUAAUAGCUCACUGGUCGAGUCGGCCUGCGCGGAAGAUGUAACGGGGCUAAACCAUGCACCGAAGCUGCGGCAGCGACACUAUGUGUUGUUGGGUAGGGGAGCGUUCUGUAAGCCGUUGAAGGUGUGCUGUGAGGCAUGCUGGAGGUAUCAGAAGUGCGAAUGCUGACAUAAGUAACGAUAAAGCGGGUGAAAAGCCCGCUCGCCGGAAGACCAAGGGUUCCUGUCCAACGUUAAUCGGGGCAGGGUGAGUCGACCCCUAAGGCGAGGCCGAAAGGCGUAGUCGAUGGGAAACAGGUUAAUAUUCCUGUACUUGGUGUUACUGCGAAGGGGGGACGGAGAAGGCUAUGUCAGCCGGGCGACGGUUGUCCCGGUUUAAGCAUGUAGGCGGAGGUUCCAGGUAAAUCCGGUACCUUAUUAACGCUGAGGUGUGAUGACGAGGCACUACGGUGCUGAAGUGAUAAAUGCCCUGCUUCCAGGAAAAGCCUCUAAGCAUCAGGUAACACGAAAUCGUACCCCAAACCGACACAGGUGGUCAGGUAGAGAAUACCAAGGCGCUUGAGAGAACUCGGGUGAAGGAACUAGGCAAAAUGGUGCCGUAACUUCGGGAGAAGGCACGCUGAUAGGUAGGUGAAGCCCCUGCGGGCGGAGCUGAAAUCAGUCGAAGAUACCAGCUGGCUGCAACUGUUUAUUAAAAACACAGCACUGUGCAAACACGAAAGUGGACGUAUACGGUGUGACGCCUGCCCGGUGCCGGAAGGUUAAUUGAUGGGGUUAGCGGCAACGCGAAGCUCUUGAUCGAAGCCCCGGUAAACGGCGGCCGUAACUAUAACGGUCCUAAGGUAGCGAAAUUCCUUGUCGGGUAAGUUCCGACCUGCACGAAUGGCGUAAUGAUGGCCAGGCUGUCUCCACCCGAGACUCAGUGAAAUUGAACUCGCUGUGAAGAUGCAGUGUACCCGCGGCAAGACGGAAAGACCCCGUGAACCUUUACUAUAGCUUGACACUGAACACUGGUCCUUGAUGUGUAGGAUAGGUGGGAGGCUUUGAAGCGUGGACGCCAGUCUGCGUGGAGCCAUCCUUGAAAUACCACCCUUUAAUGGCUGGUGUUCUAACGUAGACCCGUGAUCCGGGUUGCGGACAGUGUCUGGUGGGUAGUUUGACUGGGGCGGUCUCCUCCCAAAGAGUAACGGAGGAGCACGAAGGUUGGCUAAUCCUGGUCGGACAUCAGGAGGUUAGUGCAAUGGCAUAAGCCAGCUUGACUGCGAGCGUGACGGCGCGAGCAGGUGCGAAAGCAGGUCAUAGUGAUCCGGUGGUUCUGAAUGGAAGGGCCAUCGCUCAACGGAUAAAAGGUACUCCGGGGAUAACAGGCUGAUACCGCCCAAGAGUUCAUAUCGACGGCGGUGUUUGGCACCUCGAUGUCGGCUCAUCACAUCCUGGGGCUGAAGUAGGUCCCAAGGGUAUGGCUGUUCGCCAUUUAAAGUGGUACGCGAGCUGGGUUUAGAACGUCGUGAGACAGUUCGGUCCCUAUCUGCCGUGGGCGCUGGAGAAUUGAGGGGGGCUGCUCCUAGUACGAGAGGACCGGAGUGGACGCAUCACUGGUGUUCGGGUUGUCAUGCCAAUGGCACUGCCCGGUAGCUAAAUGCGGAAGAGAUAAGUGCUGAAAGCAUCUAAGCACGAAACUUGCCCCGAGAUGAGUUCUCCCUGAGACCUUGAGUCUCCUGAAGGAACGUUGAAGACGACGACGUUGAUAGGUCGGGUGUGUAAGCGCAGCGAUGCGUUGAGCUAACCGAUACUAAUGAACCGUGAGGCUUAACCUU
rnacentral:rRNA from 1 species